rnacentral:rRNA from 1 species
GGAUUAGAUACCCUGGUAGUCCACGCUGUAAACGAUGUCGACUUGGAGGUUGUGCCCUUGAGGCGUGGCUUCCGGAGCUAACGCGUUAAGUCGACCGCCUGGGGAGUACGGCCGCAAGGUUAAAACUCAAAUGAAUUGACGGGGGCCCGCACAAGCGGUGGAGCAUGUGGUUUAAUUCGAUGCAACGCGAAGAACCUUACCUACUCUUGACAUCCAGAGAAUUCGCUAGAGAUAGCUUAGUGCCUUCGGGAACUCUGAGACAGGUGCUGCAUGGCUGUCGUCAGCUCGUGUUGUGAAAUGUUGGGUUAAGUCCCGCAACGAGCGCAACCCUUAUCCUUUGUUGCCAGCACGUAAUGGUGGGAACUCAAAGGAGACUGCCGGUGAUAAACCGGAGGAAGGUGGGGAUGACGUCAAGUCAUCAUGGCCCUUACGAGUAGGGCUACACACGUGCUACAAUGGCGUAUACAAAGAGAAGCGAACUCGCGAGAGCAAGCGGACCUCAUAAAGUACGUCGUAGUCCGGAUCGGAGUCUGCAACUCGACUCCGUGAAGUCGGAAUCGCUAGUAAUCGUAGAUCAGAAUGCUACGGUGAAUACGUUCCCGGGCCUUGUACACACCGCCCGUCACACCAUGGGAGUGGGUUGCAAAAGAAGUAGGUAGCUUAACCUUCGGGAGGGCGCUUACCACUUUGUGAUUCAUGACUGGGGUGAAGUCGUAACAAGGUAACCGUAGGGGAACCUGCGGUUGGAUCACCUCCUUACCUAAUGAUAUUGAUUGCGUGAAGUGCUCACACAGAUUGUCUGAUGAAAAAGUAAUGAGCAAAAGCGCUACCUGUUGAUGUAAUGAGUCUCUGACUCAUGCUGAUACGAACCGAUUAAGACAU